rnacentral:rRNA from 1 species
GAUCAUGGCUCAGGAUGAACGCUAGCUACAGGCUUAACACAUGCAAGUCGAGGGGAAACGACAUCGAAAGCUUGCUUUUGAUGGGCGUCGACCGGCGCACGGGUGAGUAACGCGUAUCCAACCUGCCCAUCACUUGUGAAUAACCUUGCGAAAGUAAGACUAAUGCCCAAUGACAUCCCACGAAGGCAUCCGAAUGGGAUUAAAGAUUUAUCGGCGAUGGAUGGGGAUGCGU